UGUUUAACUUAAUGUACUAGCUAGUCGCUCUGGAUAAGAGCGUCUGCUAAAUGACGUAAA
rfam:Salmo salar isolate Sally breed double haploid chromosome ssa19, whole genome shotgun sequence.